rnacentral:rRNA from 1 species
GUGGGGAAUCUUAGACAAUGGGCGCAAGCCUGAUCUAGCCAUGCCGCGUGAGCGAUGAAGGCCUUAGGGUUGUAAAGCUCUUUCAGGGGGGAAGAUAAUGACGGUACCAGCAGAAGAAGCCCCGGCUAACUCCGUGCCAGCAGCCGCGGUAAUACGGAGGGGGCUAGCGUUGUUCGGAAUUACUGGGCGUAAAGCGCGCGUAGGCGGACUGAAAAGUUGGGGGUGAAAUCCCGGGGCUAAACCUCGGAACUGCCUUCAAAACUAUCAGUCUGGAGUUCGAGAGAGGUGAGUGGAAUUCCGAGUGUAGAGGUGAAAUUCGUAGAUAUUCGGAGGAACACCAGUGGCGAAGGCGGCUCACUGGCUCGAUACUGACGCUGAGGUGCGAAAGCGUGGGGAGCAAACAGGAUUAGAAACCCCUGUAGUCC